GAGAGGUGGCAGAGUGGUUGAAUGUGGCGGUCUCGAAAACCGUUGUGCGUGAAAACGUACCGAGGGUUCGAAUCCCUCUUUCUCC
rnacentral:tRNA from 1 species